rnacentral:rRNA from 1 species
UAAUCGCGGUUUGGCCGGGUCGGGCGCUUCAAAAGGGGGAGUUUUAGUGUUCCUAAGGCGGCAGGGUGCGAGGUAAGCAAGGGGUGGGUGCUUUAGGGAUCUAGAGAGGACGACAAGGAGUGCGUGCGGCCACGGGGUGCGAGCUGAUGGCGGUCGCCGAUGGCGGUAGGCCGCCAGUUAGGGCGGCGACGGGGUGCGCGGGAAGGAGAUAUCGUAGCGGGUUGCGGCGGGACAGGGAUGUCGUGUUGGAUUGAGGCAGGACGGAGAGAGGCGGCGGCCAGGCUGUGGGAGCACGAGAGAGAGACCAACCGGUGGAGAGAGGUUGUAGGGACCGGACCGGACUGGUAGAGGUGGCAGGUCGAGUGCUUCUAUGUGCGUCGCCGUCUAAACCUAGUCCCGUCGCACGCGGACCAGUUCCCGUAGGGAGAGACAGAAACCGACCCGUCCCCGUCGCUUCGCCGACUCCUACCUUUUACCGUUCGCGUUCGCCUUUUCGAUUUCUACCACCCCAAUGCCUCCUUGUUGACUUUCACCAUCUCAUAUUUGAUGUCUCUUCAUGCUGUAUUUAUUUGUGUCUACGACUUAGUUUUGACAUCAUAAGGUAGGUGUAUGGUUUUGUCAUCAUAUAGUGACGUCGUCUGAGACAAGACCUGUAUUUAUUUGUGUAUACGUACAUUAGUAAGAGUUUUGUGUUUGUUACACGAGGGAGGCAGGUUUUUAAAUACAGAGUUGAAACCAUGUUGAAACAUGAUCUCAAUCAUGUUUCAACUCUGUGAAUAAAACCCUGCCUCCCUCAUAUUCUAUUGUUUUGUCAUCCGUUACAACAACAUUUGUAUAGAUCGGUAGUAUUUAGAGGAAUGAAAAAAUAAUAUCAGAAUGUCACGAUACUGGUUUUUCUUGAUCGUCCCAGUGGGCGCGUAAACGCACCGAUCUAAUAACAAAAAAAUAACACGUGAUUCAACUUUCAUGAAUAAACUUACGAGUACUAUCUAUAAUGUUUAAUGAUACUAUAAAAUCCACUUUGAAGGAUAGUAGCAAAAUCUUAUAACGACUACACCACGACUUUUCCUAUAAGGUGAAAACUCUGAAAUUUUAAUUUCAAGAUGAAAUUUGUUACAUUGAUCUUUAUAAGUAGUAAAUUCCCAAAACAUUGGCAGAUUUUCCACACCAUGUACAUACAGUACCUUCUCCAGCACUACGAAGCCGUGGACCGGAGAUUUGGCGCACGUUGGCCGUACGGUAGAUUAAAGACUACCCAUCCAUUUAAUAGAGUAGGCCGGUGGAAGGAGAGAAAGAUAAGAAGGUAUCAGAAGAGGUGACGGUUUAGUAACCGAACUGUAGGGAAAUCGAACAUUUCGAAGUAGACCCAAGGGAAAUAUGGCUCGGCUGUGAAUGCGGUUAUCUUUAUUGAAGACUAGUUCGUGGUGUAACCCUCUGUCAGUCGGAACGUCCACAGUAGACCAGAUAUCAGAUCACCGACGUGUAAACAAGCCGAGCUAAAGGACACACAAAAGUAUGGAUUUAAUCGUAAUCCUACAACCACACCCUUCCACCUGAACUUUUUAGUGUAUUUUAUAAUACCAUUUUUAUGUCUUACACCUUUGAGUAAACAGUUUUCUUCUUUUGUUAACAUCGUACAUAGAUAUAGUACUCAAUUACAAUCAUAUGACCUCAUUUAAACAAAAUAAUAGAUAUUGACUUUUAGUAUAACACCAGGUGUAUACAGUACGGAUUGAUAUAUAACCAGAGUCAGAGAAUUGGUGUUAAAAGUUCUUUGUAGACUCGUUUUACAUUAUGGGUUGUGAUUACAGAUCAUAUCGGGGGAGUAAUAAUAAAGUCACGUAAUACGUUAUAUUACAGCAGGUUGAUUACACAUUCUGUUAUUUUUACAAAGACAGAAAAAGAUUUUAUUUUCUAUUGGAGUGGAUGACUUAUAACGGAAUAGAUACAUCAUUAUGUAUAAAACCGUAUUGACACAUAUAAGGAGAACGUUCCAAGAAAUAAAAAGAGUUUCUUAUCGUAAUCGAAAAAGGAAUUCCUAUAAGUAGCUUCUUAAAAUAAUCAUACACAUCUUACAUAGAGAAGUGGGGUGUUUUUUUCAUAGAGAAGUGAGGAAUCAGGCAGUGAACGUAUAGGUUAAAUGAAAACAAUCUGGAGUCUCACUAUACCUAGCAAAUUAGUCGACUGGUACGAACUAACAAAGAUAAAUCUCUCGUCUAAGUAGCCAGUGCCUAGUUUUUAUUUAAAAAAAUAGACUACGUUAGUUUAUUAUAAAACACAGAGGUGUUUUUUGCUAAAACAUAUUUAACAGUGCAUCUCAAACUACAACAGUGUUCCAGGUAACGUACCGGUAGAUCGUUCCAUUAGUGGUUGUUAUACACAAAACAGAUGAACCGAGUUUAACAAACUACACAGUAUGAUUAAGUACAAGUGAAACCAUCUACUUUGGGAUGUUCGGUACCCAUAGAAGGAGUAGGGCGGUGAUUCCAUAAAUACAACACUAAGUGAUAAAUACACUGGGUCGACAAUAGUACUGGUGAACCAUGACAUGUUCUCGAAGAAGAACCACCAGGGAUCGAUCGAUUUUCACGUACUUCUCAGGUAAUACAUUAGACCAGUAGUACCUUAAAUAGUUCCUUAGGAUCGAGUUUCACUUUCUUCUAAGAUAUUCAAAUAGUACAUUAGGAACGACGAUGAAUAAACCAUUAUCAACGAAGGGACACAAGUAAAUCCGGGUCAAACCUACGUUGCAUAAAAAAUCGCAUUAAAGACUUCUUUUUUUGACGUCAAAACUUUUAUGAAACUCCACAAACCAGGUUUAUAUAUGGUACCAAGACGUUUGACAUUAUAGGGGUUACAUAGAUAACGACGGUUGUCCUUGUAUCGUAAUAUUCUGUUCUCCUUAUACUUUCUUGGUGCUUCGACAGUCAAACGUAGUUGAUCUAUAGAAGACAUUACCUCCUUUUGGUUACGAAGAACAUCGAUGGUAAAACAUUUCCUAUAGAACACAUUCUCGUUCGUAACUUAGCAGCCUGUACAUAGAUAGUAAAAUAUUUGGAUAGCCCACAUAGCCAGUGGGUCUGUUUACAAAGGAGAAUAAAUCAAUGAAGAUAAUACUCUUAGUAAUCACAAUAAAAACAAACCAAGACCAAAUUAUAAACUCUCAUGUACGUUCAAUAACAUUGAACUAUCUAUUACUACUCUAUA